UACGUAGGGUGCGAGCGUUAAUCGGAAUUACUGGGCGUAAAGGGUGCGCAGGCGGCGUCGCAAGUCAGGCGUGAAAUCCCCGGGCUUAACCUGGGAACUGCACUUGAAACUACGAUGCUGGAGUAUGGCAGAGGGGAGGUGGAAUUCCACGUGUAGCGGUGAAAUGCGCAGAUAUCAGGAGGAACACCGAUGGCGAAGGCAGGUCUCUGGGCAUUAACUGACGCUGAGGAGCGAAAGCGUGGGGAGCGAACAGG
rnacentral:rRNA from 1 species